AGAUUACGUUCGCGUCAUUUUGGUCGUCGUUGUCUUUUUGCAUUCGAAAAUGCAUCCUGGCUCUCGAGAGGUAGAAAGAACUUUCAACUUUGUUUUUUCACGGAAAAAAUUGCUGUAGAUGUUACAUCAAUAUUCUCUAUAUUUGGAAAAGAAAUGCACGUGAAUUUAUAUAAUUUAAGUUAUAUUGAUGUUGACAUGGCAUACAUCUGUUAAGGUGGCGCCACCGAGACGUGCGUAGGCGCCUGGACUGCCAUGGAGUAACCUCGGUUUGAGAAACUGGCUCGGGAUGGCGAUACAGAGUGUAUACGCUGCAGUGCAUGCAGUUUCGUUAAACGAUUUGCGUAAUGCAAACUGACUUAUUGCACGUUCAGUUUCAAAUAUGUUUCAUCGAAAAUACAGACGAACCUCGAUAACUCGAACCUUUACAACUCGAAAAUCUCUAAGAUGAAAAUUUUGUUCAUUACUUUCCGCUUUAUUGCGAAAAACAUCUAUAAAUCGAAAUAAAACCUA